GUGGCAAUUCCGUGCCAAGCGUGGCCGAAAGUUCAUGAAGGGAUGGGGCGCCAACCUGGGGUGUGACCUCCGCGAAUGCAAGUAGGCCCUGUUGACCGCCAUUCAGGCCCUGGACCUGCGUGUAGACGUGACCGGCUCGCUCCUGAGGAGUGGCUUUCUCGAUACGACUUGGAAGACCAACUUUCCGUCAUCUACAUGGACGAGCAGGUAUACUGGCGUCUCUGUGGUGCCCAAAAAUGGGUAUUGAAGGGGGACGCGAACACGACCUACUUUCAGGCCAUUGCCAAUGGUGGUCGUAGACGCGACACCAUCCCCCUCUGGGAUGGCGCAACCCUCCUGUAGUCCCCCAGUGACAUUCGAGCCCAUGUGGACGGGUUCUACAGGUCCCUGUUCUCCGCCGCUCCUAGGAGCAGCCUUUCUCUGGCCCAUGAUUGUUGGAACAACCUCCAGCUAGUUUUUGAUGCGGAGAACGUGGACCUUAUGGCCCCCUUCUCCAAGGGCGAGGUCUGGGCUGCCAUUAGAGGCAUGAACCCUACCUCGGCCCCGGGCCCGGAUGGCCUCCUGGUUAAAUUCUUCCAGACCUUCUGGAAUGUGAUUAAGUCUGAGAUCAUGGCCAUCUUCGAUGAGUUCUAUGUUGGGUCCAUUGAUCUCGGGCGCCUCAACUACGUGAUCAUUUUGCUCAUCCCCAAGGUGCCAGGGGCCUCCGACAUCCACCAGUUUUGGCCAAUCACGGUGAUCAAUGUGACCUUAUGGAUUCUGGCAAAAGGGUACGCCAAUUGGGUGACCCUGCUUGCUGAUCACAUUACCCACCCCAACCAAUCCACCUUCAUUCAAGGGCGGUAUAUCUUGGAUGGGGUGCUAGUGCUUCAUGAAGUCCUCCAUGAGGUCCGUUCUAAACACCUCAGGGCGGUUUUUCCUGAAGAUCGAUUUCCAUAA
rnacentral:rRNA from 1 species